rnacentral:rRNA from 1 species
CGACUUGGAGGUUGUUCCCUUGAGGAGUGGCUUCCGGAGCUAACGCGUUAAGUCGACCGCCUGGGGAGUACGGCCGCAAGGUUAAAACUCAAAUGAAUUGACGGGGGCCCGCACAAGCGGUGGAGCAUGUGGUUUAAUUCGAUGCAACGCGAAGAACCUUACCUACUCUUGACAUCCACGGAAUUCGGCAGAGAUGCCUUAGUGCCUUCGGGAACCGUGAGACAGGUGCUGCAUGGCUGUCGUCAGCUCGUGUUGAGAAAUGUUGGGUUAAGUCCCGCAACGAGCGCAACCCUUAUCCUUUGUUGCCAGCGAGUCAUGUCGGGAACUCAAAGGAGACUGCCGGUGAUAAACCGGAGGAAGGUGGGGAUGACGUCAAGUCAUCAUGGCCCUUACGAGUAGGGCUACACACGUGCUACAAUGGCGCAUACAAAGAGAAGCGACCUCGCGAGAGCAAGCGGACCUCACAAAGUGCGUCGUAGUCCGGAUCGGAGUCUGCAACUCGACUCCGUGAAGUCGGAAUCGCUAGUAAUCGUGGAUCUGAAUGCCACGGUGAAUACGUUCCCGGGCCUUGUACACACCGCCCGUCACACCAUGGGAGUGGGUUGCAAAAGAAGUAGGUAGCUUAACCUUCGGGAGGGCGCUUACCACUUUGUGAUUCAUGACUGGGGUGAAGUCGUAACAAGGUACC